CCUACGGGUGGCUGCAGUGGGGAAUAUUGGACAAUGGGGGCAACCCUGAUCCAGCCAUGCCGCGUGUGUGAAGAAGGCCCUCGGGUUGUAAAGCACUUUCAGUGAGGAAGAACGCCUGGUGGUUAAUACCCAUCAGGAAAGACAUCACUCACAGAAGAAGCACCGGCUAACUCCGUGCCAGCAGCCGCGGUAAUACGGAGGGUGCGAGCGUUAAUCGGAAUUACUGGGCGUAAAGCGCGCGUAGGUGGCUUGAUAAGCCGGUUGUGAAAGCCCCGGGCUCAACCUAGGAACGGCAUCCGGAACUGUCAAGCUAGAGUGCAGGAGAGGAAGGUAGAAUUCCCGGUGUAGCGGUGAAAUGCGUAGAGAUCGGGAGGAAUACCAGUGGCGAAGGCGGCCUUCUGGACUGACACUGACACUGAGGUGCGAAAGCGUGGGUAGCAAACAGGAUUAGAUACCCUUGUAGUC
rnacentral:rRNA from 1 species